UACAGAGGUCCCGAGCGUUGUUCGGAUUCAUUGGGCGUAAAGGGUGCGUAGGCGGCGGGGCAAGUCUGAUGUGAAAGCCCGGGGCUCAACUCCGGAAUUGCCUUUAAAACUGCAUCGCUAGAAUUGUGGAGAGGUAAGUGGAAUUCCGAGUGUAGAGGUGAAAUUCGUAGAUAUUCGGAAGAACACCAGUGGCGAAGGCGACUUACUGGACACAUAUUGACGCUGAGGUGCGAAAGCGUGGGGAGCAAACAGG
rnacentral:rRNA from 1 species